UCGAGGCCCAAACGGACGAUCGCGAAUUCGUAGAGGACCCGUAGGGGGUGGAACGGGGGUGGCAAUCAUCGUCCACCUACGCCUCCUUAGGUGCCCCCACCGUCACCUCCCCGUACGUCAGUCGGGAAGGGUGGCGGGAACAAUUUUCGGCACCUUGUGUGCCAAGGAGCAUUCCUGUCUGGAGAGCGGAACGUGCGGCAAGGUUAGCAUUGCAGCACGUGAGGCGAUCCUGGUACGUCUAACCUGCAUGACUCUCGGCAACGGAUAUCUUGGCUCUCGCAUCGAUGAAGAACGUAGCGAAAUGCGAUAYUUGGUGUGAAUUGCAGAAUCCCGUGAACCAUCGAGUUUUUGAACGCAAGUUGCGCCUGAGGCUAUCUGGCCAAGGGCACGCCUGCCUGGGCGUCACGCCUAUCGACGCUCCUUGCUUCCUGCCCCUCCCCCGCCUUGUGCGGCUCGGUAACAGGGACGGACGCGGAGAUUGGCCCCCCGUGCAUCGAUGCGUGGCGGGUUGAAGUGUGGGCCGUCGGUCUGGUCGGAUGCGACGAGUGGUGGAUUGACACGCACGCAGUCGUUGAAGUGACCUGUCUUUGAUGGUGCAUUGGUGGAACCCAUGUUUACGGGCGUCAUGUGAGCGCUCCUUGGAAU
rnacentral:rRNA from 1 species